ACUGAAGUGGAGAAGGGUUCCACGUGAAUAGUAGUUGAAUGUGGGUCAGUUGCUCCUAAGAUACUGGCUUAUGCCUUGUAUCAUUGAGAGGGAAAAGUUUUCUUUUCUCUCGGAUAUCAAAAGGGAAUAGGCUCAAUAUUCCCUAACGCAGACACAGAGAUUGCGGCUCUUUGAGUCGCUUGCGCGGUAACGCAUUCAAACUUGGUUACGUCGCUCAGAGACCGAGCUAGAGUUCUGUUCUCCAGUUAAGGAACGAAAUAAUCGGUUCAGCCGUAGAUAGGGACGUUGUUUCCGUGAAGAAUCGCGGUUUCUGUGAUGUCUCGUGUUCUCUGAACGGUCCUUGAAAAAUCAAGGAAGGCUAUUAAUCUGUGCUGCAUAGUACCGAUAUCCGCAUCAGGUCUCCAAGGUGAACAGCCUCUAGU
rnacentral:ncRNA from 1 species